GGAUCAACGUAGGGAAANUACGCUAAUACCGCAUACGACCUACGGGUGAAAGUGGGGGACCUUCGGGCCUCACGCGAUAGGAUGAGCCGAUGUCGGAUUAGCUAGUUGGUGGGGUAAAGGCCCACCAAGGCGACGAUCCGUAGCUGGUCUGAGAGGAUGAUCAGCCACACUGGGACUGAGACACGGCCCAGACUCCUACGGGAGGCAGCAGUGGGGAAUAUUGGACAAUGGGCGCAAGCCUGAUCCAGCCAUGCCGCGUGUGUGAAGAAGGCCUUCGGGUUGUAAAGCACUUUUGUUGGGGAAGAAAACUGCGUGGUUAAUACCCGAGCAGGCUGACGGUACCCAAAGAAUAAGCACCGGCUAACUUCGUGCCAGCAGCCGCGGUAAUACGAAGGGUGCAAGCGUUACUCGGAAUUACUGGGCGUAAAGCGUGCGUAGGCGGUUUGUUAAGUCAGAUGUGAAAUCCCCGGGCUCAACCUGGGGAACUGCAUUUGAAACUGGCAGGCUAAGUACGGUAAGGGUGGUGGAAUUCCCGGUGUAGCGGUGAAAUGCGUACAGAUCGGGAGG
rnacentral:rRNA from 1 species